AUUGAACGCUGGCGGCAGGCCUAACACAUGCAAGUCGAGCGGAGCGGCGGACGGGUGAGUAAUGCCUAGGAAUCUGCCUGGUAGUGGGGGAGAACGUCCGGAAACGGGCGCUAAUACCGCAUACUAUCAGAUGAGCCUAGGUCGGAUUAGCUAGUUGGUGGGGUAAAGGCCUACCAAGGCGACGAUCCGUAACUGGUCUGAGAGGAUGAUCAGUCACACUGGAACUGAGACACGGUCCAGACUCCUACGUGAGGCAGCAGUGGGUAAUAGUGGACAAUGGGCGAAAGCCUGAUGCAGCCAUGCCGCGUGUGUGAAGAAGGCCUUCGGGUUGUAAAGCACUUUCAGCGGGGAGGCGUUACCCGCAGAAGAAGCACCGGCUAACUCCGUGACAGCAGCCGCGGUAAUAC
rnacentral:rRNA from 1 species